rnacentral:rRNA from 1 species
UACAGAGGGUGCAAGCGUUAAUCGGAAUUACUGGACGUAAGCGUGCGCAGUCGGUUGUUUAAGUCGGAUGUGAAAUCCCCGGGGCUCAACCUGGGAACUGCGUCCGAUACUGGAUGGCUUGAAUCCGGGAGAGGGAUGCAGAAUUCCAGGUGUAGCGGUGAAAUGCGUAGAGAUGUGGAGGAACACCGAUGGCGAAGGCAGCCCCCUGGGCCAAUA